CCUUAAUCAAUAAUGAAUCUAAGAUUAUGCUAAAGUCUGAAGAAUACAUAACAAAAAUAAGUGGAACUUCUGGAGAAUAUGAAUUCGCCAAUAAUGAACGUGUGAUCUCCACAUUGAAGAUACAUACAAAUCUUCGUCAGGAUGGUUAUGGACCAUUUGGAACCGGGGAGGAUACCAAAAAUUGUAAUGUGUUUUCAUUUCCUGACGAAUUUAAUGGACGCAUUGUUGGAUUCUUUGGACAUGCUGAUGACUACCUUUAUUCUCUUGGAAUCUAUGCUCAAUAGAAUGAUCUUAAGUUUAGGCAGUGCUUGGAUGUUAUGGCUCCCACCAGCAAAAUGGCCGAUUCACGAUCUUUCUAUUUAUGUCUGCAUUUAAUUAAAGAGUUUUAAGUGUAUUUGUUAUUUUCUUUGAUUCUAAUAUUUCCUUCAAUAAGCCAUCCACAUGUACUAUCAAUUUGGGUUGCCCUUUGAAUUAAAUAUGAUUUGUUGUAAUCUUAAUCAGUUAUUAUUACUUUUUACUAAUUUCCUUU